ACUACGGGUGGCAGCAGUGAGGAAUAUUGGUCAAUGGGCGGAAGCCUGAACCAGCCAAGUAGCGUGCAGGAUGACGGCCCUACGGGUUGUAAACUGCUUUUAUACGGGAAUAACGCGCCUUACGUGUAGGGCUUUGCAUGUACCGUAUGAAUAAGGACCGGCUAAUUCCUUGCCAGCAGCCGCGGUAAUACGGAAGGUCCGGGCGUUAUCCGGAUUUAUUGGGUUUAAAGGGAGCGUAGGCCGCAUGUCAAGCGUGCUGUGAAAUGUCCGGGCUCAACCCGGGCCUUGCAGCGCGAACUGGCGUGCUUGAGUCCGCGGAAAGCAGGCGGAAUUCGUGGUGUAGCGGUGAAAUGCUUAGAUAUGACGAAGAACCCCGAUUGCGAAGGCAGCUUGCUGCAGCGGAACUGACGCUGAUGCUCGAAAGCGCGGGUAUCGAACAGGAUUAGAUACCCUAGUAGUC
rnacentral:rRNA from 1 species